rnacentral:rRNA from 1 species
CGCGAACGUUGGCGGCGUGCCUAACACAUGCAAGUCGUGGGGCAGCAGGCUACUACCUUCGGGUAGUAGUGCUGGCGACCGGCAAACGGGUGAGUAACACGUAGCUUACCUACCCAUAGGUUGGGGAUAACAUCCCGAAAGGGGUGCUAAUACCCAAUAAUGAGGAGACUCCAAAGCCCUUACGGGUGCCUAUGGAUGGGGCUGCGUCCCAUCAGCUAGUUGGUGAGGUAACGGCUCACCAAGGCUACGACGGGUAACCGGUCUGGGAGGAUGACCGGUCACAGUGGGACUGAGACACGGCCCGCACCCCUACGGGGGGCAGCAGUGGGGAAUAUUGGGCAAUGGCCGAAAGGCUGACCCAGCAACGCCGCGUGGUGGAUGAAGCCCUUCGGGGUGUAAACACCUUUUCUGGGGGAAGAUAAUGACGGUACCCCAGGAAUAAGGGACGGCUAACUACGUGCCAGCAGCCGCGGUAAUACGUAG